rnacentral:rRNA from 1 species
CAAUAGCGUAUAUUAAAGCUGUUGCGGUUAAAAAGCUCGUAGUUGGAUUUCUGUCAAGUACAACUGGUCCGCCCUCCGGGUGAGCACAUAGUUUGGUCUUGACAUCUUGCUGGAAGCUGUUGCUGCACUUGGCUGUGUGGCGCAGUGUUCAGCACUUUCACUUUGAGGAAAUUGGAGUGUUUCAAGCAGGCACAUGCCUUUGGACACAGUAGCAUGGAAUAAUUAGAUUGGGCUUUUGCUCCAAUUUGUCGGUUUCUGGAGCUGAGGUGAGUAUUAAUGGGGAUUGUUGGGGGCAUCCGAAUUUAGCCGUCAGAGGUGAAAUUCUUGGAUCUGCUAAAGACGGACAACUGCGAAAGCGUUUGCCCAGGAUGUUUNCAUUGA